rnacentral:lncRNA from 1 species
GACCACCCAGCCCCCAGCCCUGGCCACACGUCUCGGACUCUCCUGGCACACCCCAGGCCUUUUUCUUGGCUCUGGUAUCCCUGUGUUGAGUAUGUGGGAAAGCAGACCACAGUAUCUCUUACUCCAUAUGAUGGGCGAGCCACACCUUCGUUCCUGGACAGGAUCCAGCAGCUAAGCAUGGCGGAGGAAGGGGGCCUGGUGGAGAGGAUGGAGUCCGAGGGUAGUGAUGAGGCUGAAGAAGACAGGUCCCAACUGGUGGUUUUGGACCCAGACCACCCUCUGAUGAUAAGAUUCCAGGCUGCCCUGAAGAACUACCUUAACCGGCAGAUAGAGAACGUGAAGCUGGAGCUUCAAGAGCUGGGCGUGGCCACCAAGCAAAGCCGAGUCCAGCGGCAGGAGCUGGGGGUGGACCUCUACGGGGUCCAGCAGCACCUGGCCCGCCUACAGAUGCAGCUGGAGAAGAACCAUGACCGCCACUCGAUCGCCGCCUGUGCCAGGCGGCAGAAGGAGGAGGAGCUUCAGAGCGUGCGCUUGCUCUACGCCCGGACCUGCGAGACUGCCAACGAGGAGCGCAAAAAGCUGGCGGCUCUGCAGACGGAGAUGGAGACCCUGGCUCUGCAUCUCUUCUACAUGCAGAACAUGGACCAGGACGUGCGGGAUGACAUCCUCAUAAUGAAGCACGUUGUGAAGAAGUCAGAGGCUGAGCGCUCUCGGGCCGAGUUGGAGAAGCAGCAGCAGGACCUGCACGUGGACCAGCUCACCACCCGAGCCAACCAGCUGGAAGAACAAACCGCGCUGUUCGAGGCUCAGUACCACGCGCAGGUUGAGGACACCCGGAUGCUCAGGAAAGCAGUGAACGAGGCCUGCAUGGAAAUUGACACCAUCAACGUGGAGAAAAAGCGCAUCCUGCAGCAGUGGGCCACCAGCCUGGUGGGCAUGAAGCACCGCGAUGAGGCUCACAGGACCAUCCAGGAGGCGCUCAGCGAAUGCCAGCAUCAAGCCAAGUCCAUGGACGGUGAGCUCGAAGCCUAUAAGAAAUCCAUCGUGAAGGAGGAAGAAAAGAACGAGAAACUGGCCAGCAUCCUGAAUCGGGCAGAGACGGAAGCCAGCCUGAUGCAGAAACUGACGGCGCAGUGCCUGGCCAAGGAGGAGGCCCUGCAGAACGAGUUCAGCACCUACAGGCUCACCCUGCUGGACACAGAGGACGCGCUGGGCAAGGCCCAAAUGGAAUACGCAGCCACCAUGGGCGAAUUGCAGACUCUCCACCAGACCAUCCAGCACGAGCUGGAGCUGAGGAGGAAGAUGGAGGCCUCCAUUGUGGAGAAGCUGCAGGAACACAUGACCUCCAACAAGAUGACCAAGUACUUCCACCAGCUCAUCCUGAAGCUCCAGAAGGAAAAGACCAACCUGGUGACACAUCUUUCCAAAAUUGACGGCGACAUUGCUCAGGCCACCCUGGACAUGACAAACACCAGCUGCAGGCUGGACAGGCAUCAGAAGACGCUGGCCGAGCUGGACGAGGAAGUGAAAAAAGUCAACGACCUCAUCGCCAACAGCGAAAAUGAAAUCUCCAGGCGCACGAUCCUGAUUGAGAGAAGACAAGGCCUCAUCAACUUUUCCAACAAGCAGCUGGAGCAGAUGGUUUCUGAGCUUGGGGGGGAAGAAGUGGGGCCCCUGGAGCUGGAGAUCAAGAGGCUGACCAAGCUGACGGAGGAGCUCAGCGCCAGUGUGACCAGGGCCCAGGUGACCUGGCUCCGGCUGCAGCAGGAGAUGGUGAGGGCCACACAGGAGCGGGAGGAGCAGCUGGCCUCCCUGGACAUGUCCAAGAAGGAGAUGCACAUCCUGGAGCAGAAGAAGAUACGAACAGAGAACAAGAUCGACCAGGAGAAGAAGGAGCAGAAGGAGAUCCAGCGCCACAUGAGGAACCUGGACAGCGACCUGAAGAAGCUCAACGUGCUGAUGAACAGGAGCCGGUGCAGCUCGGAGGACCUGCAGCAGGAAAACCUGGCGACGGAGAACGAGUUCCUGCGAGCGCUCAAGGCCUCGGAGCGCGAGACCAUCGAGCUGCAGGAGAAGCUGAACCAGCUCAGCGAGGAGAAGGCGGCCGUGCUCAACAGCCUGGUGGAGGCCGAACACCAGAUCAUGCUUUGGGAGAAAAAGAUCCAACUGGCGAAAGAGAUGCGUGCCUCCGUGGACUCGGAGACGGGGCAGACGGAGAUCCGGGCGAUGAAGGCCGAGGUCCAAAGGAUGAAGGUCAAGCACAGGCAGCUGCUGAAGCAGCAGGAGAAGAUGAUCCGGGACAUGGAGCUGGCCGUCGCCCGCAGAGAAACCAUCUCCACCCGGGCCGAGGGGCAGGGCAAGCUGGACAAGAGGCUGCUCACCCGGACGGACUUCCACCACCAGCAGGCGGAGCUGCGCCGGAAGGUCAGGGACAUUCACAAGGCCACCGAGGAGUGCACCAAAACCAUCCUGGAACUGGAAGAAACUCAGAGAUCCCUGAGCGAGUCCCUCGUGGAGAAGCAGGAGCAGCUGUCAAAGAUGCAGUCCAAGGCCGACGAGCUCGAAGCCGACCUGGACCGGCUGGCGGCCCUCAAGCGGCAGAACCUUUCCACCCUCGUGGCCCUGCAAACGCGCCUCAAGCACCUGCAGGCCGUGAAGGACGGGCGGUACGUCUUCCUGCUCCGCAACAAGCAGUCGCUGCUGUCGGAGCUCAAGCGUCUGGAGGACCGGCUGGGCAGCAUCAACAACAUCCUCCACCACGUGAAGGAGGAGUACCCGCAGUUCCAGGGGGCCCUGCUCAAGGUCAGCCAGUCCAUCACCAACGGGCUGGGGUCCCCUGGGCCCUAGAGAGCGCCUGGACACCCCUCUUCCAGGCGGGCCCCCAAGGAAGGGAUCAGUUUUGUGCAUUGUCGGGGACUUUGAAUACGUUUGUCUGUCCCUGCUUUACUGAAAGUCACCGCUGCCCUCAGAGAAUGACGCCACUUAAAAAAAUACGCCAGCGCUGUAGGAAUUGUUUGUUUAGCCACCCCGCUGUAUAAAUCAGGUCAAAUCCCAACGUUUCCAGUUCCAUUUUCCACAAGUAUUCCAUUUGCAAAGCAGACCCCCGUGCCCUCGCUGGGCUUACUCGUCCAAGGAAAACGGGAAACCAGGUCUCUGUUCCCGCCCCACUCCCAGCUUGGGUUAAAUCCAGAUGCCCAGCUCACCGGAGCAAGUCCGGAGGACGUGAAGCCCUAGCGGAAUCUGCAGGGCCUGACGUCUGCGAUUAGACCGUGCAGGUGCAGGAACACAGACCUCCUUGUCUGUGUCGGGUCCCCACCACCCUGGUCCACCCCGGGCUCCUCCUCCCACGCUCCGACUCCUGAACCCCUGCUGCCUAUGGCUUCUUCGAGGGCUUAAGGGGAAAGGUAAUUUUACAAAGUAAUUUUAAACUUUUCAGCAGGAAAAUAAAGUUUUUUU